CCUAGGGGCGGCAGCAGUGGGGAAUAUUGGACAAUGGGCGAAAGCCUGAUCCAGCCAUGCCGCGUGUGUGAAGAAGGCCUUCGGGUUGUAAAGCACUUUCAGUGGGGAAGAAAGCCUUGGGGCUAAUACCCUCGAGGAAGGACAUCACCCACAGAAGAAGCACCGGCUAACUCCGUGCCAGCAGCCGCGGUAAUACGGAGGGUGCGAGCGUUAAUCGGAAUUACUGGGCGUAAAGCGCGCGUAGGCGGUCUGAUAAGCCGGUUGUGAAAGCCCCGGGCUCAACCUGGGAACGGCAUCCGGAACUGUCAGGCUAGAGUGCAGGGGAGGAAGGUAGAAUUCCCGGUGUAGCGGUGAAAGGCGUAGAGAUCGGGAGGAAUACCAGUGGCGAAGGCGGCCUUCUGGACUGACACUGACGCUGAGGUGCGAAAGCGUGGGUAGCAAACAGGAUUAGAUACCCGUGUAGU
rnacentral:rRNA from 1 species